AAGAGGAUCCAGCUUCCAGGAUAGACAAUAGGGGUGCUCCUGCGACCUAGGUCUUUUCGUCUCCAGUAUUGUGAGUGGAUAAAUAUAUAACAUUGAUAUUUUUCUUAAAUAUAUUAUCGAUUGAAUAGUCCAGCUAUCAGUUUUCUCUUAUAAGCUUAAUAUUUUGAAAUUAUAGCAGAUUAUAUGUAUUUAUAUGUGUAAAUAUUAGGGGAAACUCUGUCAGUUUUUCGAGUCAUAUCCAUCUCUACAGUUUAGAGAAUGGGUGUGACAGAACAAAUUUACACAUAAUCUAAUCAUGAGCAUUAGCUACUUUAGUCAAAAUUACGAAUUAUUUAAGAGGUAUCAUGAGUUAUAAUAUUCUAUAUAGUGGAUGUCCCAUUAUUUUAGAAGAAUACAGUGAUUUUAAUUCGAAUUUAGAUUCAAAUAAGAUAAACUUCGCUGAUGAUUAUGCAUUUAAUCUAGAUGGUGGUGCAAUUAUUUAGAAAUCAACUAUUAUUAUCAAAACCAUCAUAGAAGCGGGGUUUAUUGCUCUGGAAGUAGACGAUAAUGAGGUUUGAGUGGCUAAAAAAUUUCUUAGCAAAUACUAUAUUGAGAAUAAAAUCAAUAUCAUUCGUGUAUUGUGAUUGCCAAAUGACAAUAAUAAUUGUAAAGAAUAAAACUUUUAAUAGUAAAAAUAGAUAUAUUCAUCUAAGAAAUAAUAUGGUAAGGCAGCUAUUGAGAAAUGAAAUUAUAUUCAUUAAUUAUAUAUAAUCAGAAGCAAGUUAAUAAAUGAAAUAUCAAGGGAAAUGGAACUUGAGCCAACAUAAAAUUAACAAUGAUAGGAACUCAAUCUUUGUGAUUGGAGACAUGGGUAAUAACAAGUCACUUAUUAAUUCUGCUAGCACUAUUUAAUGUUGUCCUUUCCUAUAAUGUGAGAAGUGCUAGACUACAUUAAUGAGAGGAUGACCUAAAAGCUAUUAAUGAUAUUCAUACUCCUUAUGGGUGGUAUAUAAAUUGCAGUAUACACUUAAUAUAUCACCUAUAUAAGUGUGGAGUGGGGCAGUUUCUAUGAGAUUGUAGCACAAUUUCUAAAACACUUAUGAAUUACCAAGCGUGCGCAUGGCCUAUUAGCGUGAAACAGUAUUGACAACAAGAUCUGUGGAGUGUUAUAAGAUUGAUGGGAUAUUAGUAUACCAAAAAGAAUUUUUGGUUCAUAGAAGCAAAAGUUUCACCAAUUGCUUGGUAUGUUAGUCUUAUUAAUUUAGGUCUGGUUAAUAAUCUAAAAGACACCAAAUUUCAAAUUUAUGCACUAAAUUUUUAAAUCCAAUAAUGAAAAAUCUUUUGAAAUAUAUAGGAUUUAGAUUUCAAAAGAUUUUAUGAUCGUUGAGAAUUUUAUUUAUGAUAUUUUUUUGCUAUUGCAAGUUUAAUAUUUAAAUUUAAUAUUAAAUUUGAUUAUUAUGAUUUUAUGCAGAUUUGAUUAUAUUCUCUCAAAAUUUUUAUAACAGUUUACAACGGUUACUUUUUCCAUUAUAAAUAGCUUGUACCUUCACAAAGAAAGUCAUUCAAAAUUUUAUACAUUAUUCAUUCAUUUCUCUAUGAUUUCGCUAAGUUAUAAAUUAGAGAUAAAUUCUUAUUAUUCUAAUCUUGAAAAUUAAAUUUCAGAAUGAUUUGUUUAAUUAUGGAGGAAUACAAAAUAAAUUAUUAAGGACAAUAUCCAAUACAACUCAGGUUUUAUUAUUUUAUCAUAUUUUUCCAACACACAGAUCCUCUCUUAUUUGUCUAGCUAUUGUUUGAUCCAUCUCCAUGUGUCUAUUUCAUCAUCAUUAUUGUAUUUUGUGGUGGGAAGCACACUAACUCGUAUAAACGGUUUUCCAUGGAUAUUCUCUAAUAGAUGUAACCAUUCUGGUGCAAACUCCAUGCUCAGCAACCAUUUGGCAGCUUCUUAUUACCACUUGCAGACGAUUGUUAAAUUUGAAUCAUACCUAAUUCACUUUAAAAAUUAGCUCCUAUGUUAAUGAUCCAAGAAAAAAAAUUUUAAUUAUAUAUUAACCUCUCAUUAAUAUUCUAAUGAGAGUUUAACAUGCCUAGUAGAAUAGCCCAUUGCUCGUCAUUGAGUUUGUUGCAUUUGUCAUUAUUUUUUAUCCAGUAUCAACAACACCUUCUUUAUUACGUCCUCCUCCAGUCACACCUCUUUUAUUACAUCCUCCUCUAGUCACACGCUUUUGAGUACUGCCACGUGCACCUGAGUUGCCACGAGGCCGAUUACCUCAGUAUUCUGGAUGGCUUAUUAGCUGAAAAUAACUUUUAGUGAUUUUAUCUUUAUACCCUAAAUUUUAAUCACCGGCCCAAAUUAUGAAGCUCAUGGACAUAAAGUUAACUGUCCACCAUUCUUUAUAAUUCUCUCCUUUUAACUGCAUUUUGUCAUUUGAAUUUAGUGUAUAAAAAUAAAAAAAAAUUAUUAUUCCUAAAUUUCAAGAGCUAAUUCAAGAGAAAAGAGCGUUUAAAACACUUAUAAAGACACAUCACCCCUUCCUAAAAUCGAUCUGAAAUUCAACGUGAUCCGUGUCUGAAACACCAGCGAUAUUACGAGUUACGAUGCCGAAGGAUUUUAAGAUCUCAUAUAGACGAAACGUGACCUUAGUAGGAAAUGGAACCCACUUGGGUGGAACAAUGAAAUUGUGGCUUGGCGCAGCUGCCCAGCGUAGCUCCCAAGAGUAUACUGAAGAAACCAUUUGAAAUGCCAAGCCUAGUUACUAUUUCAGGAAGCCAGCAAGGAGUAAAAUCGUAAAGCCGCCAAUCCGAAUGUGAAGUUUUAAGAAAUCUGGUAAUGAGUUCUUUGAGACCAUCAUAUGCCUUUUUAAGGUAUUGGACUCUAUCAUAUGGGAUAUCAAAGGUGGCCUCAGCGUUUUCUGGUAGACUGUCGAGCCAUGGCAAUGGAAGCUUCACGAAACCGAUGAAAGGAAGCAAAUUUGGAUAGAGUUUGGGGAGGCGAUCAAUGUUGCGAGGAGUGGAGAUGAAGGAGAUCUUAUGGCCCUUUUCAGCAAUGACCUUGGCGAGCUCUAAGUAAGGGAUAAUGUGACCAAAGGCUAGCCAGGGAAACAUAGCGACGUGAAGCUUAGACGCUGUCAUGAAUGUGAAUUCUGGAUCACUUUGUAGUAAAAUUACAUAGAAGAUCUAAAAUAAGAAAAGCUCUCAGACAUUAUAUAAAUUCAUAUGAGAAAAGGCGUGGGAAAUUUUUAGGUGAGAAUUUGUUUCUGAUAAUUUUAUUAACUGAAAGGGGAUAUAUAUACAUAUGGAGAUAGCUUUAAAGAAUUCUAGAAGCUACUGGAUCUAUCUACUGAGCUAUUUGUUACAACAGAUUAACAAACUUGCUUCCUGCUGCUGAACACCGUUUUAUCUUAAUUACUGCACAUCGAUUUACAACUUUUCUUUUCUUCUCUGCUAUGCACCAUUUUGUGUCUCUUCACACCCCGCAAGAUGGAGACGAGUUGAUAGACAAAAGUCCAUCUUGGACAGAAGGCGACGGAAUUGAGCAAGCCCUAAAGUUUUGGUGAAGAGAUCUGCUAAUUGUUUCUGAGAAGGAACAUGAAUGGUCCAGAUGAAGCCUUCUUGGAUUUUAUCGCGAACGAUGUGGCAGUUUAUUUCAAGAUGCUUCUUCCAUUCGUGGAAUACUGAAUUUGCUACAAUAUAUUGGGCGGCUUUGUUAUCACAGUGAAGGUGAGUCUUAGAUAACUGAAAUUCUUUUAUCAAAUUAUUGAUCCACUGAAAUUCGCACACUGAAAGCUAUGGUCUGAUAUUCUGCUUCGACCAAAGAUUUGCUAAUAAUGUUUUACUUUUUUUUGGUUUUCCAUGAGAUUGGGACUGAACCGAG
rnacentral:lncRNA from 1 species